AUCGGCAAUGCGCCUCGGCUGAGGCCGUGCCCGAAGAUCACCGCCGACGAGGCGGAGCAAGGUGCCGGCGGAGGCUCAGAUCUCGGACCGCGAGGUCGGGUUUCUCAAGGAGGAGUUACAAUCACUUGAAGGACUUCCACCUGUUCAUAGAUGUUGCAAAGAGUAUGUCUCCGCAAUCUCACGGGUCCACGAGUUUGUCGGGUCAAACCCGGAUCCACUAAUACCACCAAACAAGAAGAAACAGAAGUCUUGUAGAAUGUGGGAGCGGCUUCGAACCAACCUAUGCUGCAAUUUUUCAUGGAUGUGCUGCUCAUGUACCUGCUCUCUUCAGCUGCAAACCCUCUGCUGCCCCAACCGUCGCAACAAUCCAAAUCCAGGAACCUGCUGCUGCUGCAGUUGCAGGGGAAUUUCAUGUUGCAGGCCGACGCAAUGUCUCCGGCCGGGCUCAUCUUGCCCAGGCUGUUCUUGCGGCUGUGCCUGCUCUUGUUGCCCUGAUUGUAUUGAAGUGCGACUCCGUCCAAAAUGUUGUACUGAAACUUGUCGUAGCGAACAAUGCCUUUGUUAAUUUAGAAAUGUCCUCUCUUAAUUCAUUGUUAUGUAGACUUUGUUACGUUGUUUCUUAUUAAUUGACUUUGUUACAUUGCUUCUUAUUAGCACGGCCUGUUGGGAUUG